UCAAAGCUGGGGCUUAGGCGCUGCGCUGGGGUCGUGGCGGCGCGGGCUCUGGGGGAGAGGAGGGAGGCAGCAUGGAAGCCCCCCCAAACACACAGCACCCCUCACUGUCCAGAGUUCUGGGUCACCGCUGCUGGGGUUCUGGUUGAAUCUUGAUGGCUCUCCUUUCGGUGGUAUUUGAUGUCCCUUCCCUCCAGAGGGAGCAAAGAUGAAGCCCCAGCCAGCAGACACUCCCGAAGACCCACAAGAGUGUGGAGUCCUCCAGGGCAGACCUGACUCCAGUCUCCCUACCCCAGGACUCACAUGCCUGAGGAAAUUCAGCAAGUGGUUCCUGUGAGAUGGUGCCCUGCCUCUUUCCCACUGUGUGGGUUCAGAAGGCCUACGGCCAUGCCACGGCAGUCACUGUUAGCUUCUCUGAUGUCCUCAAGCC